UGAGCAAAGGGAAGCUUCAGAGCCCAGUGAUGAGAUGAGACGAGGGAUGCUGGUUGGUCUUCUCAGAAGGCCGUUCGUGCAGUCACUGUGUGAAUCACGCCCAGUGAACCGAAGCUAGACAACUUCAGGUCAACUUAGAGAAACUGCCACAGUGGCCCAUGUGGACACAAUGUUCAUGUUCAUGCCUGCUGCUGUCGGGGCCGCUCAGGAAGAUCACCA
rnacentral:lncRNA from 1 species